GACGAACGCUGGCGGCGUGCUUAACACAUGCAAGUCGAACGGAAAGGCCCUGCUUUUGUGGGGUGCUCGAGUGGCGAACGGGUGAGUAACACGUGAGUAACCUGCCAUUGACUUUGGGAUAACUUCAGGAAACUGGGGCUAAUACCGGAUAGGAGCUACUGCUGCAUGGUGGGGGUUGGAAAGUUUCGGCGGUUGGGGAUGGACUCGCGGCUUAUCAGCUUGUUGGUGGGGUAGUGGCUUACCAAGGCUUUGACGGGUAGCCGGCCUGAGAGGGUGACCGGCCACAUUGGGACUGGGAUGCGGCCCAGACUCCUACGGGAGGCAGCAGUGGGGGAUAUUGCACAAUGGGCGGAAGCCUGAUGCAGCAACGCCGCGUGCGGGAUGACGGCCUUCGGGUUGUAAACCGCUUUCGCCUGUGACGAAGCGUGAGUGACGGUAAUGGGUAAAGAAGCACCGGCUAACUACGUG
rnacentral:rRNA from 1 species